AGAAUCACAUGCUCCCUGAGCGAGAACUGUAUGUAAACAACUGAAGAGAUAAAGACACGUGACAGCUGUGAUCGGAUGAAAUAGUGUUGUAGAAUGCAUGU